GCCAAAUGAGGCUAUCCUCAUGAGUGUUUUGACUGCUUGUGCACAUUUAGGGAGACUUGAUCGAGGAAAGUGGAUACAUUCCUAUAUAAGGUACAGUGGGAGGAUUAAGCCUGACAUGUUGCUUUCGACUGCCCUAUUGACAAUGUAUGCUAAGUGCGGUGAGAUGGAUUUGGCGAAGGAGGUAUUUGCUGGGAUGCCAGAGAAAAGUGUUGUCUCGUGGAACUCUAUGAUCAUGGGUUAUGGAACCCACGGGUACGGCGAGG
rnacentral:misc_RNA from 1 species